AUGUAGCUGCCAGAGGCGAGGUGGACGUGGUUGCUGUAACAGGAGGAGGGUUCUGAUCCGCAGGAUCUGCAGUGCUGGAGAGGGGUCCACUGUGUUCCUAGUCCGUGGUGUUCCAACAGCUUCUACGGGUUGUUUGAAAUUGUGUACAGGGAGAUCUAAAAGGCUCAGUGGCUGGUUGUUGUGGUCCUGGAGUAUCUGAAGGGGAUGUUAAAGACCUCUGAGGAGGCUGUGAGUCCUGAUGAAUGGGGGUACCCCAGUGACUGUGUGAUUGAAUGAGAAGAGGCAACUCCAGCCCAAAGAGCAGCCUCCUUCCAUUGCUGGAAUGGUUUCUGGUGGAGGGGAGUCAAGCGGGAGCUGCACAGAAGCCUGGUACCUUAGCACAGAGGAGCCACUCACUAUUCCAAUCUGUGUGUCUG